AGAGUUUGAUCCUGGCUCAGAUUGAACGCUAGCGGCAUGCCUUACACAUGCAAGUCGAACGGCAGCACGGGGGCAACCUGGUGGCGAGUGGCGAACGGGUGAGUAAUACAUCGGAACGUACCCAGUAGUGGGGGAUAACGUAGCGAAAGCUACGCUAAUACCGCAUACGCACUACGGUGGAAAGUGGGGGAUCGCAAGACCUCGCGCUAUUGGAGCGGCCGAUGGCAGAUUAGCUAGUUGGUGGGGUAAAAGCCUACCAAGGCGACGAUCUGUAGCUGGUCUGAGAGGACGACCAGCCACACUGGGACUGAGACACGGCCCAGACUCCUACGGGAGGCAGCAGUGGGGAAUUUUGGACAAUGGGGGCAACCCUGAUCCAGCAAUGCCGCGUGUGUGAAGAAGGCCUUCGGGUUGUAAAGCACUUUUGGCGGGAGCGAAAGGGCCUGGGUAAUACCCCGGGUUGAUGACGGUACCCGCAGAAUAAGCACCGGCUAACUACGUGCCAGCAGCCGCGGUAAUAC
rnacentral:rRNA from 1 species